CGUGUGCUUACAAGUAGUCAGAGCCCGUUAAUGGGUGAUGGCGUGCCUUUUGUAGAAUGAACCGGCGAGUUACGAUUUGAUGCAAGGUUAAGCAGUAAAUGUGGAGCCGUAGCGAAAGCGAGUCUGAAUAGGGCGUUUAGUAUUUGGUCGUAGACCCGAAACCAGGUGAUCUACCCUUGGUCAGGUUGAAGUUCAGGUAACACUGAAUGGAGGACCGAACCGACUUACGUUGAAAAGUGAGCGGAUGAACUGAGGGUAGCGGAGAAAUUCCAAUCGAACCUGGAGAUAGCUGGUUCUCUCCGAAAUAGCUUUAGGGCUAGCCUCAAGUGAUGAUUAUUGGAGGUAGAGCACUGUUUGGACGAGGGGCCCCUCUCGGGUUACCGAAUUCAGACAAACUCCGAAUGCCAAUUAAUUUAACUUGGGAGUCAGAACAUGGGUGAUAAGGUCCGUGUUCGAAAGGGAAACAGCCCAGACCACCAGCUAAGGUCCCAAAAUAUAUGUUAAGUGGAAAAGGAUGUGGCGUUGCCCAGACAACUAGGAUGUUGGCUUAGAAGCAGCCAUCAUUUAAAGAGUGCGUAAUAGCUCACUAGUCGAGUGACACUGCGCCGAAAAUGUACCGGGGCUAAACAUAUUACCGAAGCUGUGGAUUGUCCUUUGGACAAUGGUAGGAGAGCGUUCUAAGGGCGUUGAAGCAUGAUCGUAAGGACAUGUGGAGCGCUUAGAAGUGAGAAUGCCGGUGUGAGUAGCGAAAGACGGGUGAGAAUCCCGUCCACCGAUUGACUAAGGUUUCCAGAGGAAGGCUCGUCCGCUCUGGGUUAGUCGGGUCCUAAGCUGAGGCCGACAGGCGUAGGCGAUGGAUAACAGGUUGAUAUUCCUGUACCACCUAUAAUCGUUUUAAUCGAUGGGGGGACGCAGUAGGAUAGGCGAAGCGUGCGAUUGGAUUGCACGUCUAAG
rnacentral:rRNA from 1 species